GGGCCCGUAGCUCAAUUGGCUAGUAGCGCCUCAAUGGCAUUGAGGAGGUUGUGGGUUCAAGUCCCAUCGGGUCCA
rnacentral:tRNA from 1 species